GUGCCUACGGGGGGCAGCAGUGGGGGAUAUUGCACAAUGGGGGGAACCCUGAUGCAGCGACGCCGCGUGGGUGAAGGAGCGUUUCGGCGCGUAAAGCCCUAUCGGCAGGGAAGAAGAUGACGGUACCUGACCAAGAAGCCCCGGCUAACUACGUGCCAGCAGCCGCGGUAAUACGUAGGGAGCAAGCGUUAUCCGGAUUUACUGGGUGUAAAGGGCGUGUAGGCGGGCCUGCAAGUCAGAAGUGAAAUCUGGGGGCUUAACCCCCAAACUGCUUUUGAAACUGUGGGUCUUGAGUGAUGGAGAGG
rnacentral:rRNA from 1 species